rnacentral:rRNA from 1 species
AUUGAACGCUGGCGGCAGGCCUAACACAUGCAAGUCGAACGGCAACAGGAAGAAGCUUGCUUCUUUGCUGACGAGUGGCGGACGGGUGAGUAAUGUCUGGGAAACUGCCUGAUGGAGGGGGAUAACUACUGGAAACGGUAGCUAAUACCGCAUAACGUCGCAAGACCAAAGAGGGGGACCUUCGGGCCUCUUGCCAUCGGAUGUGCCCAGAUGGGAUUAGCUUGUUGGUGGGGUAACGGCUCACCAAGGCGACGAUCCCUAGCUGGUCUGAGAGGAUGACCAGCCACACUGGAACUGAGACACGGUCCAGACUCCUACGGGAGGCAGCAGUGGGGAAUAUUGCACAAUGGGCGCAAGCCUGAUGCAGCCAUGCCGCGUGUAUGAAGAAGGCCUUCGGGUUGUAAAGUACUCUCAGCGGGGAGGAAGGGAGUAAAGUUAAUACCUUUGCUCAUUGACGUUACCCGCAGAAGAAGCACCGGCUAACUCCGUG